rnacentral:rRNA from 1 species
UACGUAGGGCGCAAGCGUUGUCCGGAAUUAUUGGGCGUAAAGAGCUCGUAGGCGGUCUGUUACGUCCGCUGUGAAAACCCAGGGCUUAACCCUGGGCUUGCAGUGGAUACGGGUAGACUAGAGGCAGGUAGGGGAGAAUGGAAUUCCCGGUGUAGCGGUGAAAUGCGCAGAUAUCGGGAGGAACACCGGUGGCGAAGGCGGCAUCCUGGACCAACACUGACGCUGAGUGAGCGAAAGCCAGGGGAGCAAACGGG